UACUUAGCAAUAUGAUUGUUUUAUAAUCGCUUUAUUUAGAUAGUUUUAAAUUGGAUUAGGCCAAAUAGCCUUCUCUUAAUAAUUGAGGCAAUUAUUUUCGUAAUAUUUCCACAAAAUUGGUUACUUAAUAAUUGUUAAUUAAUGAUAUCAUGAUAUAUCAUGAUAGACUUCAAGGGUUUUUAUACACUCAACACUUUGCCGAAUAUUGACUCAUCAAAUUCUGAAAUUGAAAAUGCUGGAGGGAAGAGCGACUCCAUCAAUUAGUUCAAGUAAAUAUUUCGAACUCGUCCACCACCAAUUGAUUUGUUUACAUUGAACAGUUGUUUUCGUUUCGGACUCGUACCCCACCCAUUGAUUUGUAAACAUUGUUUGAUGAUAAUUCGUCAAAUUCUGAAAUGGAAAACGGUGGAAGAAAGAGCGAUUCCAUCAAUUAUUUUAAGUAAAUAUUUCGAACUCGUACACCAUCCAUUGAUUUCCAUUGGUUUGUAAAUAUUGUUUGAUGAUGGAUCUGUAUUAUAUGACGGACUUUCCAGAUUUCCAACACUAUCGAGACCGGUCUUCCAAAAUUAAGAGUGUACGAGUUAAAAGUGAAAAGUUUGACGAAGAUGUGAAAAAGCUUAUUAUUGUCAAAAAAAUCAAGAGAUGCGUAUUCGCAAUUGUAUAGAUGAGGCAAAAGAAAUAACUAUUCCUCUAAACGUCUUCCGAAAAUCUGUAAUUAAGCCACCGUGGGCCUUAAAUGUCAAUUCUCUCUCUUACUCUCAUCAUGCAAAAUAGAACGUCCGCCAAAUCUCGUUUCGUCUUCAGAGAACUAAUCACAGAGAAAGACUAAGCUUUUAGAAAAUAGAAAAAAUAGCAUUUCCCUUUUGAAGACGGUUCUAAGAGUGAUAAUAUGUCCUCUGCCUAUGUGAUAGUAGAUGCCCCGCGACAAGUUUAAAUUGAUCACAUCCUACAUGAAAAUUCGUCAACAUUUGCAACCAAAGCCACAAACCUUACUCGCAAAGUUAAACUUAAAAUGGUUAUCAUCAGAGAUGGUUUCUCACUCACAAAAGGUAUUCGCAACUCUUUAAAUUUCAAUUGGAACAUCAUUAGCAAAGUGAGGAAAACAUGCAGAGAUAAAAUUAAAAUAUUUGGCUAUCAAAUCAUAAUGGAAUCUUUUCGGAAAUGAGCGAGCAAAUCGGCAGCUUCUGCACCUUCAAUUAUGAACGACGCAAUGGAAAAGCUUGAUUUUCAGAAGCAUAUUAGAAAAAAAAUUAAAGCAAAGCUAACGAAAAAAA